UGCCACUGCACUCCAGCCUGGGUGACAGAGCGAGACUCUGUCUCAGAAUAAUAAUGAUAAGAAUAAAAUACACGAUGCCGAGACAUCUCGGCCCGAGUGCCUGCACGAGCACAGUCAUGUCCAGGCAGGGCUGCCAGUCGAGGUCCGGCUCCAUCUCAUCCAGGAGAAAGGAAGUGAGCUUGCGGGGAGACAGGGGGACAAGAUCCCAGGAUCUCAGCCUCUGCUCAUGCAUCAGCUCUGCGACCGAAAGUCAGCUGGGGGUGCUCUGUGUGCCUUGGUCUCCUCAGCUAUCAAACAAAGGGAUUAAAUGAGGAAGUCUUUUCCAGGUGGAAUGAUCUCAGAUUUGGGGCAGAAGUGAAUGGUCCUGCUCCCUGGGCCAUGACAGUGGCCUGGUCUUGGCUGGACACAGCCACGAGGAAUGGCUGGACUCAGCAGCCACACCAAACCCCAGACCAAGCAGAAACCUCCCAAGACUGAGGGGCUUGUGCCAGAGCGUAGGCUGCAGGUAAGAACCUGGGCCUGGGCUGUGUGUGGCAGGAGUCCUCCCUGUCCCAGGGCCCAGCACAGCAGUGGAGCACCAGCCACGUCAUCCAGGCAGGAUCUGUCCGGGACCCACCUGCAGGGGCAGAACAGCCUCUCCUAAGAGGCGAUCGUCUCUCUCCAGGAAAGCAACAGUGCUCCCCGCCCCAACCAGACUGCCCGACUCAGUGGAGUUACUGCUGCUGCUCCAAUGUCCUAACGCUGUCCAGCUGGCUCCUGCCUGUGCUCACCCACACCCUCCCCCCUUGCCAGGCCUGCCUUCUCUGUGGCCUGUGCGUGGCCAUCUUUGCCUGAUUGAGCCCUGAGGUCUCCUGGGCACCCAGCCCAUCCCUGCACCGGCUGCUUUCAUCCCCACCGGCUCAGGGCUUCUACCUGGUGGCUCUGAUGAUAAAAUCAACAUGCUCGCAAGUCAUCUCAGAGAACUUUAAUGAAAGUGUCGGCAGUUCUUUCUCUCACAGUGGUGUUUAGGUGGAUGAGCUCCAUUGUAGUUGCUAAGACACCAUCCACUUACCGAGAGAGAAAGUCAGGCUGCUUCAAACCCAGAGACCGAUGCAAAAGAGCAUCACUUGUGGUCAGAAAGUCUAGCAGCCAUGCCUUGUGGGAGGUCACACUGGCAUCCAGGCCUUUGCCUGCAUCACAGGCGAAGAGCCGAUUCCCCGUCCCAGAGAACCCUUCGUUUCCCAGCCCUGCACCAGCUUUGCCACUGCACAGGCUUUUGAGACAGGAGGCAGUUUCAAGGUGGCAGAUGCACAUCAUAAGACCAGAGGAGACCGAGAGAAGGGCUGGAUUUGGCUUUUCUAAGCAACAUGUGUUCCCUCGCAGGGCUGGAGGGUUGUGGAGACAGACAGAGAUGGAAGUCAGGACAGGGGAGCCCAGUGGGCCCAGAAAGGUCCACAAGCAGAGAGGAGUGUGAGGCGCAUGGCUCCAGUGUCAGACUCCCCAACAUGCUGCGUGCUCAGCAGGAUCUGCCCAUGACACCCAGGGAACCCUCGCCCUCCCCACCUUGGGAGAGGUCGCUGGACAGAGCUGCACGGGGUGCUGGUGUCAUCCAGGACCCCACACACUUUCCUGAGUGUGAUCCUGCUUCCCUCCUCUGGGCAGCUGCAUCCUCUUCUCCUGCAGGGUUUUCUGGAAACUCAGCUCUGGGUUUGUCUCCCUUCUCCCCCUCCUUGCCCCAACCCCCUUUUUCUGAAAAAGUGAGGCAAUUGUUUAUGAGUUAAUUUGUUGAAAAUAAGUGGCGGCCUCCACGCUUCUGUUUUCUUUCAGCCUCGUGGUCAUGCAGGGUUACAAAGGAUGCCGGGGCUCCCACACAGGUGCUGGCAGAGGGGGCGGCGGGUGGUCCUGUGCCUCUGCCUGCUCGGGGAGGGAGGCCGUCCCCCCGCCCCUCGUCCCUAGGCCUGGCUCCUUCCUGACCCUCUGAAUAUCCUGUAGUCCAGAGACUUCAGAACCCACUCCUGAGAAGAGCAGAGCCAGGCACUUAGAGGAAGACAAAAUGCUGUCACUCCAGGAUCUUAUUAGGUGUUUGAAUCUGUUAGGAAAAAAAUUAGGAACUAUGUAUAAAACUUAAAAUAUUCAAGUAUUAAAAGGUUAUUUGAAUCAAAGUUUU